rnacentral:snoRNA from 1 species
UUACAUGUGAUGAAGCAAAUCAGUAUGGAUAAACUCAUGAUAGUGUAAAUGUUUUCUGAUGUA